AGUACGAGAUGCUACGGCAUCGAGGCAGUCUAUGUCAUACUUCCAAGAAAAGCUCGCACUGUCAAAAACAAAUGAAUGCCUGUACCAUAACCGACACAGGUGGGUAGGUAGAGUAUACUAAGAGGCGCGAGAUAACUCUCUCUAAGGAACUCGGCAAAAUGACUCCGUAACUCCGGAGAAGGAGUGCCUUAUUUAUAAGGUUGCAAUAACCAGCUCCAAGCAACUGUUUAUCAAAAACACAGGUCUCCGCUAAGUCGUAAGACGAUGUAUGGGGGCUGACGCCUGCCCAGUGCCAGAAGGUUAAAGAAGUUGGUUAGCGCAAGCGAAGCUGAUAACUGAAGCCCUGGUGAACGGCGGCCGUAACAAUAACGGUCCUAAGGUAGCGAAAUUCCUUGUCGGGUAAGUUCCGACCCGCACGAAAGGCGUAAUGAUUUGGAGGCUGUCUCGGAGAGGGACUCGGUGAAAUAGACUUGUCUGUGAAGAUGCGGACUACCUGCACCAGGACAGAAAGACCCUAUGAAGCUUUACUGUAACUUGAGAUUGAAAUUGGACUUUAUUCGCGCAGUAUAGGUGGGAGGCAUUGAAAAUAUUCUUGCGGGAAUAUUGGAGCCAUCAGUGAGAUACCACUCUUGUAAUGUUAGAUUUCUAACUUUGUAUCAUUAUCUGGUCAAAGAACAGUUUCAGGCGGGCAGUUUGACUGGGGCGGUCGCCUCCUAAAUGGUAACGGAGGCGCACAAAGGUUUCCUCUGAACGGGUAGAAAUCGUAUCUAGAGUGUAAAGGCAUAAGGAAGCUUGACUGUGAGACCUACAAGUCGAGCAGGGACGAAAGUCGGUCUUAGUGAUCUGACGGUGCUGAGUGGAAAGGCCGUCACUCAACGGAUAAAAGUUACUCUAAGGAUAACAGGCUGAUCUCCCCCAAGAGUUCACAUCGACGGGGAGGUUUGGCACCUCGAUGUCGGCUCAUCGCAUCCUGGGGCGGUAGUACGUCCCAAGGGUUGGGCUGUUCGCCCAUGAAAGCGGUACGCGAGCUGGGUUCAGAACGUCGUGAGACAGUUCGGUCCAUAUCCGGUGUAGGCGUUAGAAUAUUGAGAGGAGCCUUCUUUAGUACGAGAGGACCGAGAAGGACAUACCUCUGGUGUACCAGUUAUCGUGCCAACGGUAAACGCUGGGUAGCCAUGUAUGGAGUGGAUAACCGCUGAAAGCAUCUAAGUGGGAAGCCCACCUCAAGAUAAGUAUUCUCAUG
rnacentral:rRNA from 1 species